GGUCCUAUCAGUCUCCCAUGGUGAUGCGGGGGGCCAUAACUGUUGAAUGGGGAUGCAAACUGCAAUUUUAUUGAUGUCAUCGGGGACGCUGGGCCUGCGCCAUUCGACGAAACUUGCCCCCGCGUCACCAUAUCAAACACUAAAAGACAAAAAUAUUCUGUGGGGGGGCCGUCCGCGCUUUUGCCCGUCACUUAAAGUGGAGCCCAUAUAGAGUCCUCAUCUCAUGAGCACACACACACACACAGCUUGCGUAUAUGUGGGCGUGUGCGCUCUCUCUCGCUUCUCCCGGUAUACACUCGAAAAUGCAAAUCGCCUGUUUAAUGAAUCAACAGGCAAGAAUGAAACGAUGAGAGCCGAGGCUUACUGCAUUAUUCCAUCUACUAUAUUCGUGUAUUCAUCAUUCUCUCUCCAUUUUUUUCUUUUCUUUCAUUCUUUCUUUUUUUGGUCUUCGUUAAAAAAUUCCCCCGUCGUUUGCCGAGUAUGACACACAUCACUGUGCUGCCCUAUCAGCUCCGCCUAUCUUUUUAUUCCUCUACUGCUGCUGCGUCUUUAUAUUCGGUGUGUGGCAUAUUGCACGGCCGAGAGAUGAGAGGCGGGUGGGGCCGCGCCAUCACACUUUUAUUUGUCUUCCCUUUCCUUUCUAUAUGCAAAACGCAGUUAAAGAUUGAUGGAAAUGGAAGUAAAAGUUCAUGCGCGCGGCUCGGCUGCCGCUGAUGCUGCCCGCGGAGACUAUGUGCUGCGCGUUUCCCACUUCUGUAUUAGAUUCAUCUGUGCGGCGGGGAUAUUUAAAACGAGUUGGAAGAGAGAUUAUUAUUCACCUCCGAUUUCUAUCCGUCUUUCGUCAGUCUAUAAACAUGUCCGUCCGAUGAGGGUCUUCCCUCUUUUCAUCUUGUAUACAGCUUUACUAGCUUAUACCUAUAUACUGCGUUAAAUCAGCUGACGUUCAUCUCUUUAUACAACAACGCUGCUGUGUCCGCCUGUGUAUAUCUUCUAUACAUAUAGUAGUUAGAGCUGUCAGCCCGGCGGUGCUGAUGGCCAGUUUGGACACAGAAUAAUGCAUGUACAUGGGUUUUCUAUCAAGUGACUUUUUGGUUUCGAUUACGGCUGUAUAGCGCACCGCAUGUCUACGUAAGGCCGCAUCUUGACGUUAUAUAAGGCAGCAGACUGCCUGUAAUGUACGACUUCUCUUCUAUAUAUACGAUCGUUCAAAAUAAUAAAUCAACCAACUCGAAACGACGACGAUCCAUACUGACCGUCUAGACAUUUAUCGAUUUUAUCAACGAGUUGGGUUUUUUUUAUUCUAUUCUUUUAAUAUAUAUUUCAUCCGGCAUUCCUUUGCUGUUGUUUUUUGGUCGUUAAAACAAGAAGAAAGAAUUGUUUUGCAAUAUUUUUCCCCAUUUUUCUUUUUAAUCCCCCACCCCAGACUCCGCCUUUUUAAAACAUUGUGUUUUAUUAAUAAAUGUUCGUGUGCAUUGACUAUCAAGACUUUUGUUGGCGUGAUGUCGGGCAAUUACCCACGACGUUUAUUUUUGAAAAAAUCCAUUUGGUUUUUCAUGGGAUUUUGUCUUUUUUUUGUUGUUGUUUUCUUCUUUUCUUUUUCCUUCGUCGUCUAGCCGCAAUGAGGAAAGAGCAUCUAUUCACUCACCCAACUCGGUCCCCUUCCGAAAUUGUUUCUUUUUUACUUUACGGCGUUGCUGUGUGUGUUUUUCUCUCUCCCAAGCCCCAGCCCUUAACCGAGUUUGAAACGACAAUUUACACAGACCGGGGGUGUCGAGAUAAUUUAUCGAUUUCUUGCCUAUGCAACCGCACCGAAAAGCGUUGCCAGACCCUCUUACCCUACACGCCCAAAAGAUCAAUAAAUUAAAAAGCCGUUUCGAAUUGGACAAGAUCAAAUUGCAAUGCUGACAGCAACAAAAUGAAUGUUCCGCCGACAACACGUACACACGUACAGUAGUAGCACAUAUAGUCGUAGUUCUUUUUUUUUCUUUCGUCGGGAUGUUUCGUGUAAGGUGUUGGUUCUCAUCGUUUGCUUGUGGUGUCAGUUUGCUUAUAUUUUCAAUUUGUCCGUCGAGUUAACCAAAAAAUUAAAAAAAAAAAAAACCUGCGGAUGAAGAAAAAAAGAAAAUAACAAUUUUGGCGUCACGCGAGACCCUUCCCCGCAGGUGACGAAGAUAAAACUGUUGCCUGGAAGAAGAAGAAAAAAAAAAACACGGAAAAUAGAAUCGCGUUUUGUUGUUGCCUACUUUAUACAAAUCGUUUCGUAUAUUAAGUAUUUGGUUUCGAUUCAAUUGAGGGAAACAUCGCGCCGUGCGAUUUCAUUCGGCCAUCUGCGAUCAAACGGACGUUGUCGCAACUUGUCUGUCGCAUUUCUCCCAUUUUUCUCACGCCCGUCAUUGGACCGGCAAACUGAAAACGUUCAGGCGCGGAUAGUUUCACUGAUCAAUCAUUAAAGAUUCCUCGGGACAAGGUGAGCGAAUCGGUCCGUAGCUCACGUUCGGUAUUCCCGGAGACAAUGUUCAUCGAUCUAUAAAAAAAGAAAAUGAUUAAUAUGAUCGAGUCCAUCCCGAAUCUUUUUGGCCUUUCUUCUUUUGUUAAAUGUUUUCUUAUUGUUGGUCAUCACACGGUCGUAGUCGUCGUCGCAGUUUAUUACGCCAUAUUAACAGAGACACAGCGACGGCGUCGAAGAAAGUCAAGCACCGCCUGCGCGGCUCGUGAUGAUUUUUCAGAGCGUUGGCCGCCCGCUCUCCUUCACAGCUCGAGGAGCUAGCCUUUAAAAUGAUUAUAUGGCCUCGCCAUCAUCACGAGGCCGCCAAACAUUUUUCGAAUGCUGUUGCCAUUUCCAUGACUAUCAAGUUUUGACGCGAAGUUUUUUAUUCCAGCGCUAUUGUAUUUUGUAUGGCUGUAGCGCUGGGAAAUUCCCGUUUAUUCUUGUUUUCAAGUAACGAACCACGCCCAAAUUGUUAUGGUAAUAAUAAAAAAAAAAAAAAGAGAAAAAAAGGCGCAAUAAACAACAAGAACAGGAUCUCCGUAUGGAUUGGUUUCCGACUUUCGUAAAAGAUACUGCGCGGGGGAUUUCCCGCGAUAUUUCAAAAAGCAAUCUAACCAGAUUUUUUUGUUUUUGUGUUUUUUUGAAAGGGGAAAAAUGCCGAGAGAAAAAGCUCAAGUGAGGAAAAUAACAGGAUAUGCUAAGUGGUUGUCAAUGCUUCCUGCGGGUUUGUUGUUCUGCUGUCCCCGUUUGUUCGAACCGUGUCGAAACAUUUCCUAUUUUCAAGAUUAGAGAGAAAGGGAGUAUGUACGUAUAUUAUACUAUUGGUAUAGGAGGUGAAACGCGUUUGUCGAUGAUUCCCAGACAUUAGGAAUGUUAUGCAGACAGUGAUCGAAAAAAAAACUAUACACCCGAAACAAAACAAAACAAAAUAAUAAUAAAAAAAAAAUCACUGUCUGGCUGUUACGCUCCAAUGGGUGUGAUGGUCAUAUUUCAUCUUUUGUUUGACAUGCAGAGCUCACGAAUUGUUUGCCCUCUGUCAGUCGCAAUACAUCUUCAAUUUCCACAAUGGACGGAUCUAGUUUGAAGAGGCCAAGUUCUUUUUUUUUCUCAUUCCGUUCAAGUAUGCUGCUGCUGUAUUUCUGGGCCUCAGCAGCAGAGCAUUCACUGCUGAUCGGACGCGGAGAAAAAUAAAAGCCCCAAACACAAUUCACCCGGGAAGGGCAAGUUGGGCAAUGUGAGAUGUACAAGUACGAGCAAUACUAUAUAUAUAUAUUAUACAGUGGGGAAAUAAAUCAACAGCCGUUUUUUUUUCUGUAGUGUGUGAUAUACGGCAGGGCUGCCGCCUCUUGUUCCUAUAUAUAAUAUUACGUGUCUGUAAUGCGUUUUUUUUUUCUUUUUUCUCGUUGUAAUCCUCUUUUCGAUGGCCAUCAUCGCCCCGUAAUGGCGGCAGCUGAUGCACCGAUGUCGGAGAUAUAGAAAGGGCGCAGUAAAACGAUUGAUCAUCCACUUGAAAAUGCGGUACACACACACAAAAGGAGAAUAAAUAUGUAUAGAGGGCGACAGAGGCCAGAAGCAGCCAAUUGCAAUUAGAACAACAACUACUACACCAUUAUAUUAUGUAUGGAAAACUAUACAGAAGGAAAAUCGAACAAAAGAGAGAAAAUAAGAAAGAAACAAAAAAAUUGGAGAAUACAAAAAAGAGAAUAAAAACAAGUCGGAAAGUAUAUAACUACUAUAUAUAGACGAGUACAUGUAUGCAGCCGACGCGCGGGAUCUGAUUUCAGCUGGGGGAUGUCAAUGUCAACCACAAGGGAAUGAAUUGCCGACCCGACUGCUGUGACUAUGGCCUCUCUUCUUUCGCCCCGUAUUAUAAUAAUGGACAAAUUGUAGACGAGAUUGUGUAGCUUUACUUAUUCAGUCCGUCAAUCGAGACGGCCGCUAGUUCCCAGACCGACGCUCAUGCUGCUGGGCAGCCACGCUUCAUUGGCCCGUCUCUCAAUCCAGAGAUGUAUAUAGCGUAGCCUACAUAUAGCCCACACAACGCCAACACAGCACGAUCGUUCCCGUUAGGAAUGAAAAAAAUGAAAAAAAAAAUAAUAAUAAUAAUAAUAGUAAAAGCACGCAUAGGUUGUACACAUUAAAAUGUGUUGCUUUUACAAAACGGGGACAACAUUUCCAGCAGCCAGUAACAAAAAGCAGCAGCAGUUGUGCCCUGUGUAGUGCGCGCAGCCAGACGAGACGUUAGACAACAGCAGCGACGGCUACAAUUCCAUGUGGAUUGACUCGGAUGAUGGAUGGGCACCCGCUCGAGGGAGCCAGCCUAUGGGGCAUCUUUUCUCCUUGCAAUGGGGUUUUGAUAAUCACGAGAGAGCGCGCGCAUUUUCGACGAAGGGAAUCGAUUACGACCAGUAAACGAACGCUCCCCUCAAAAUAAAACGACGAUGAUGGAAAGAAAAGAACAACAGCAAAAUAUGGAAAAGAGAUAGCUAGAUGAAGAUUGUACAAUAAAGUGCAGCGAUGGGAAAGAUACCAUCGCUGAUGUACCUUGAUGCGGAACAUGCGUGAAGAGGGAAUAUAUAGCUAAAGAUGAGAUAAUAGCGGGUCCAACUAGUGUACAUAUCGUCGCAGGCAGCAGCAGCAGCUGGAGAGUUAUAGGACCGCGCUGAUGGCGGGCAAGUGGACGGACCAGCACCAGGUGUUGGAAACUGAAUUUUGAUUUCGAGACCAUCAAGUUCCGUCCCGUCGAUUUCGCCUUGUCCGAUGCGUAUCGGUUCACUGUGACAACUCCGUCGCCGAAUAUACGACUCAUGAAUUUCUCAUUAUUCAGAUUAAGGUCGUCGAUUCUGACGGUUGAAAGGUCACUAGUCCAACUUAUUAUACCCCGAGUGAUGUAAUCUUCUAUUCUCAAAUGAAAAACAAAAACAUCUUUUUUCCCUUUCUAUCGAUUCUAACCCAAUCGCAACUUGAUCGAACUCGUCGUGCGUAUGUGGUGGGUCCCGAUUUCAAGAUUGUCGACAUAUUGUUUCCAACCCCUCGUUUUUCUCCGAACCUUUUUCCUUUUUUUUUUCUUUUCUUGUUACUGUUGUUCUGGUAUUUGCUUUGUCUUCCGUUGAAGUUUAAUUGUCUCUUUUUCCAUUAAUCGCUCGGCGUUGUUUUACAUACAAGUCCUCCUCUUUUAUUCUCCUUUUAAUGUGAAAGGCCCCAUGGUAGGCUGUGCUGAUGGUAGAACUGCUGCGACGGUGAACGCGCUCCAAUUCUCCGUGUUGUGUCGUUGUUGACAUUUAUACCGUUAUUGUCCUUUGGAAGAGAUAGUAAAAAAGCAGCUCACACACA